AAGACACACUCUGCUCACUGCUCGCCUACACACUACCACUCAAAACGGGAUUACUGGGUUAGCUAGACGUCAGCCUGAGUGCCGCGAGGUGCCACACCCGCCCCAUCCAAAGGUCUCACUGGGACUGACUGUCAAGAUCCUGCUUCAUCGCUGCUGCUCAGUGUGGGAGUGGUUCAGAACGGACGAUGUUUCAAGAAACAAUACGCUGCGUCAUGGAAUCCCGCGUGAACAGAACACACUCCGGCGGGAGGCGACGAUGCCACAUUUCCUUGAUAGAUCUCUUUUCGACAAGUGUUUGUUUGUAUUUUGAAACAAUACGCAUCAUACAGUGAGAUGGAUUCGUGGAGGACUUGCAAGAAGUGAGAGCAACACCAAAAUAACCAAUGGAGAGAAACACGGCAAGGCUUCCCCGAGGCGGCAACGCGGCGCCGGGCGAGGAAACUCAGGAAACCCACGGAAGGAAACCAUUCUCUGAUCGUUAUUUUUCUUCCAAACUUAUCAUAAGCCUUCCAGCAUUUCUCUGACCCCACAUGCGCUACUGUUGUCACUGUUCAUCAGUGACUAUAUUCAUCUAACCCAUGCCAUCUGCAAAGUGAGUGCAGACUGGAGCGGCAAUAAUGACGCAAAUAGUACAAAGUGUAGUGACUUACAAGAAAAAAUAAAUAAAUAAAAUAAAAUAAAAUAAAUAAAUAAAUAAUGCUGAGAAAGGUGUAAUGUUAUAAUAAAUUAAUCAUUUUAUACUAUUCCUCACUAUAAUUAUGUGAUAAAUGAAUAAAGUUAGUACACUACUGUUCCGUGUGUGCUAAGAGAAGGUGCCCACUUAUCUUAUCAGAGAAUGGGCGAAGCAUGCCCUUAUCACACACUUGCACCACCACCUUGCUGUUCUGUAUUGCUUCUGUCGCUUUGUCUCCCAAUGGAACACUGAUAAUUAUUUCUGACCAAAUUUUUAAACGUUUUGUGAUGGAAAUUAUUGGGGUUCUCAAGGGUGUUGUUUUAUCAGAAGCUUUUGGUAGAGCCCGGCGUAAACCUUUAAUCUCUGAGCUCUUCUUUGUCUGUCUUUCUAAACGCUCAGAAAAAAAGAAAAAAAAUAUUGUGUCAUAGGCCGGGCUCUUAUCACCUAUCUAUCUAUUCCAUAAGAUUUCAACCGAAUAACUAAUAUCUAACAUCAUCCAGUCCACUCGUUUUAUGAUGACUCUCCUCUCCAUUUCUUCACCUCAUUUGCAAGAUUACCAACUAAUCACAAACCAAGUAAUAGUGUUGCUCAAUGCCUCAAAAUUUCAAAAUGUUCACCUAUCUACUUGACAGCUUUCUGAACAACAAACACUCUUCUUUUAAUGACACUAAUUUAUCUUAUGUGAUGAAUGUACUUAGGCUGUUUAAUAAAAAAAUAAAAUAAAUAAAUAAAUAAAUAAAUAAAUAACAAUUCA